UACGGGGGGGGGGCAAGCGUUGUUCGGAAUUACUGGGCGUAAAGGGCUCGUAGGCGGCCAACUAAGUCGGAUGUGAAAUCCCCAGGCUUAACCUGGGAACUGCAUCCGAUACUGGAUGGCUUGAAUCCGGGAGAGGGAUGCAGAAUUCCAGGUGUAGCGGUGAAAUGCGUAGAUAUCAGGAGGAACACCGGUGGCGAAGGCGCUCAUCUGGCCCAAUACUGACGCUGAGGCGCGAAAGCUAGGGGAGCAAACGGG
rnacentral:rRNA from 1 species